rnacentral:rRNA from 2 species
UACAAUGACUCUCGGCAACGGAUAUCUAGGCUCUUGCAUCGAUGAAGAACGUAGCGAAAUGCGAUACUUGGUGUGAAUUGCAGAAUCCCGUGAACCAUCGAGUCUUUGAACGCAAGUUGCGCCUGAAGCCAUUAGGUUGAGGGCACGUCUGCCUGGGUGUCACAGA